rnacentral:rRNA from 1 species
CUACGGGAGGCAGCAGUGGGGAAUAUUGGACAAUGGGCGAAAGCCUGAUCCAGCCAUGCCGCGUGUGUGAAGAAGGCCUUCGGGUUGUAAAGCACUUUCAGUGGGGAAGAAAGCCUUGGGGCUAAUACCCUCGAGGAAGGACAUCACCCACAGAAGAAGCACCGGCUAACUCCGUGCCAGCAGCCGCGGUAAUACGGAGGGUGCGAGCGUUAAUCGGAAUUACUGGGCGUAAAGCGCGCGUAGGCGGUCUGAUAAGCCGGUUGUGAAAGCCCCGGGCUCAACCUGGGAACGGCAUCCGGAACUGUCAGGCUAGAGUGCAGGAGAGGAAGGUAGAAUUCCCGGUGUAGCAGUGAAAUGCGUAGAGAUCGGGAGGAAUACCAGUGGCGAAGGCGGCCUUCUGGACUGACACUGACGCUGAGGUGCGAAAGCGUGGGUAGCAAACAGGAUUAGAUACCCGGGUAGUC